ACUAAUCUCACUUUGUGUAAUAACACACACGUAUCGGCACAUACGCCGGGGUGCCCUUCGGGGUCGGUCGUAUGGGAUACGUGGAGGCAUAACC
rnacentral:sRNA from 1 species